CCUACGGGAGGCAGCAGUAGGGAAUCUUCCACAAUGGACGAAAGUCUGAUGGAGCAACGCCGCGUGAGUGAAGAAGGGUUUCGGCUCGUAAAGCUCUGUUGGUAGUGAAGAAAGAUAGAGGUAGUAACUGGCCUGUAUUUGACGGUAAUUACUUAGAAAGUGACGGCUAACUACGUGCCAGCAGCAGAGGUAAUACGUAGGUGGCAAGCGUUGUCAGGAUUUAUGGGGUGGAAAGCGAGUGCAGGCGGUUCAAUAAGUCUGAUGUGAAAGCCUUCGGAUCAACCGGAGAAUUGCAUCAGAAACUGUUGAACGUGAGUGCAGAAGAGGAGAGUGGAACUGCAGGUGUAGCGGCGGA
rnacentral:rRNA from 1 species